GAGAGGCCCAAACGUUAUUCGGAAUUACUGGGCUUAAAGAGUCCGUAGGCGGCGCGGAAAGUGGGGUGUGAAAGCCCUCGGCUCAACCGAGGAAUUGCGCUCCAAACUACCGUGCUUGAGGAACCUAGAGGUGAGCAGAACUGAUGGUGGAGCGGUGAAAUGCGUUGAUAUCAUCAGGAAUACCGGAGGCGAAGGCGGCUCACUGGGGGUUUUCUGACGCUGAGGGACGAAAGCCAGGGUAGCGAACGGGAUUAGAUACCCCGGUAGUCCUGGCCGUAAACGAUGAGCACUAGGCCGGAGGGCUGCACAGCUUUCCGGCCGUAGCUAAAGUGUUAAGUGCUCCGCCYUGGGGAGUAUGGUCGCAAGGCUG
rnacentral:rRNA from 1 species